rnacentral:rRNA from 1 species
UACAGAGGGGGCAAGCGUUGUUCGGAAUUACUGGGCGUAAAGGGCGCGUAGGCGGCCUGCUAAGUCGAACGUGAAAUCCCUGGGCUUAACCCAGGAACUGCGUCCGAUACUGGCAGGCUUGAAUCCGGGAGAGAGAUGCGGAAUUCCAGGUGUAGCGGUGAAAUGCGUAGAUAUCUGGAGGAACACCGGUGGCGAAGGCGGCAUCCUGGACCGGUAUUGACGCUGAGGCGCGAAAUCCAGGGGAGCAAACGGG